rnacentral:rRNA from 1 species
UCGACGGAAGGCCCUUCGGGGUACUCNAGUGGCGAACGGGUGAGUAACACGUGGGUGAUCUGCCCUGCACUUUGGGAUAAGCCUGGGAAACUGGGUCUAAUACCGAAUAGGACCACGCGCUUCAUGGUGUGUGGUGGAAAGCUUUUGCGGUGUGGGAUGGGCCCGCGGCCUAUCAGCUUGUUGGUGGGGUAAUGGCCUACCAAGGCGACGACGGGUAGCCGGCCUGAGAGGGUGACCGGCCACACUGGGACUGAGAUACGGCCCAGACUCCUACGGGAGGCAGCAGUGGGGAAUAUUGCACAAUGGGCGCGAGCCUGAUGCAGCGACGCCGCGUGAGGGAUGACGGCCUUCGGGUUGUAAACCUCUUUCAAUAGGGACGAAGCGCAAGUGACGGUACCUAUAGAAGAAGCACCGGCCAACUACGUGCCAGCAGCCGCGGUAAUACGUAGGGUGCGAGCGUUGUCCGGAAUUACUGGGCGUAAAGAGCUCGUAGGUGGUUUGUCGCGUUGUUCGUGAAAACUCACAGCUUAACUGUGGGCGUGCGGGCGAUACGGGCAGACUAGAGUACUGCAGGGGAGACUGGAAUUCCUGGUGUAGCGGUGGAAUGCGCAGAUAUCAGGAGGAACACCGGUGGCGAAGGCGGGUCUCUGGGCAGUAACUGACGCUGAGGAGCGAAAGCGUGGGGAGCGAACAGGAUUAGAUACCCUGGUAGUCCACGCCGUANACGGUGGGUACUAGGUGUGGGNNNCUUCCUUGGGAUCCGUGCCGUAGCUAACGCAUUAAGUACCCCGCCUGGGGAGUACGGCCGCAAGGCUA